ACAAUUAGGAGAAAAAUAAUAAAAACAUGCUUUUUUAAGGAAUAAGUGCAAGUUAAGUUGAUAAAUUCCAGUUUUUUCAAUUCAAAAAUCAUCGUAAAAUAUGAAUUUAUCACAUGACUAAAGGCAAUGAAAAGUUGAUUCAUCUUCAAGCUCACAUCUCGGACAUUCGAGGUUCACGAUAGCAAUUCUUGAUCACAGCCUCUCUUUCACCGGUAAAUUGUUGUGCAUAGCCUUCCAAAUAAAGUUUUUAACUUUUGGUUGACAUUUUAUUUUCCAGAGGCCAAUCCAGAAGCUCUUCUUCCUGCAUCUUUCUGGCAUGUAAUCCAGUGGGGGGUGGAAAAAAUUAAAGGCAAUUUCAUACUCAGAGGCAACUGUGUAGGCACCAGAUUUCUCUUUGCUCCACGUAAGCAAAUCCUCAUUUUGCUUAAUUUCUGUAAUGAGUAUUGCUUGGACAAUUUUGGAUUGAAUAUCUCUGUUAUUCUGUCUUGAUUCUAUUGUCGAUUAGGCAGCAGUAAUUCUACAACCCAGACUAGUUGAUAUGGUAAAUUUGGUAGGCAAAGAUAAUCUUAGUAGGACUGAGUUGUUUGAUCCAUUUCUCAUCCUUAAUCUUCACCAUAGUACCACUUUCAAUUUUCUAGAAAAUUCUUUUCUCCAGUACCUUCCUUCCCUCUAAUAUACUUCUCCAUCUCUAAGAAGGGUUAUGUCCUGUCUCUGCUCUUAGUAAAUUCGAGUACUUGAAAU
rnacentral:lncRNA from 1 species